CGAAAACGCGGAAUACAAAAUUUUACUAGAUCCGCUACGCAUUCCACGUCUGUUUUGAUUGCCUUGUAACGCUAUUUGCGUUCAAUGAGGGAUAUGCUGCGAGUCCGGAUUCGUGGCAGUGGUAAUAAAUUGUGAAGCCAGUAGUAUAGGUGGUCUCGACGCCGUUGGUUUAAUGGUCGAAUUUUUCUGCUCGCCGUGCGAGUCUGUGAUGUUUGCUGCUGACGAUUCGGUAACGCCGGGACCGCUGGCAGCCGCGGGACGCGGUCGGUGUUGUGACGCGUCGAUCAGAGGUCUUGCUUGAUAUUUUGCUUGUGCGGAAAUAAGAAUAUGAUUUUUCGCUUCUGUACUAUAUUUUCCAUUAAGGCAUCUAUUGACAGCAGCGCAAAAAU